CUUCCCUCCUACCGUGUAGUGAAAGCCCAAAAUGUUUCACUAAAGAAAUAGCACUUUUACCUUUGUUCGAGUUGUUUGAUGGUAGCAGCCAUCUGAUUAGUCUUCUCUUCCAAACGACUGUUUAAUUCACUUUUCUGUUUUACUCCUAAGUCUGAACUCUGUUAUGGAGAAGAAGUAUGAGUGAUGGACACAGAACAUAAAAUCCUGAAAUAAAUCACACAUGCCUGUUGAACCUAAUGGAAUAAUAUUUUAAAAAUUCUAAAUACAGAAAGAAAGCACAUCUCCUUGAAGAAGUUUCAGAAAAUACAGGAAUAAUAUUUUAAAAAUUCUAAAUACAGAAAGAAAGCAUAUCUCCUUGAAGAAGUUUCAGAAAAUACAGAAUUUGCCUCAGAGAUCUGCUUAGUUAUAGCAUGUAUUGCCAGAAUACAGCUGUGUGCACAUUUGCAAUCUGGGGCCAUGGCUCACCCUUCAAGCCGUGUUUCAGGCAGUGCUCCAUCACCACGAAGAACUGCUGGAGAGGUGCGUAGUCUGAGUCCAGAGUUCUCCCCAGGUUUAGAGCAGAUUCAAUCAAGCCCUUGAUACUCAGCUUGGCCAUAUUCAUUAGGUUCAUGCGUUCGUUAGCCAUGAGAUAAUUAGGAUCUAUAGCCAAAGAGGGAGAGGAUGGACCAUGGUUACUGGAAACAGCACAUUUAAAAAUUUAGCAUGUCACUGUGUUGACAUUAGCAUCGAAAGCACAAAAGCAAUGCUGUGUGGGACUGUUGGUCUCUUGGCAGCAAUGAAGACGGUG